rnacentral:lncRNA from 1 species
UCAUACAUGUAGCAUGUAAGAAAACAAAGAAACAAUGGAAGCCCCAACCAAUGAUCCAAGAACAGGCAAGGUCGCGGCAGCCACGCUGGAAUCUGGUCCUGAUGCUGUGACGGAAGAAGGAGAGGAGCUAGGACUAGAACCACCGGCGGAAGGGGAAGAAGCAGGUGCACCGGCAGAUAAGAGCUUGUUAUAAAUGGAUUUAUUGAAGUGAUUCAUCAAUAGUGACUGCGCUAGUAAUUCCACUAUUAUUAGUUAACAGUAAUGAAAAAUUUAAAUUCCUUCAUAUUUAUUUCAUAUUCAUAGAGAUAAAGGACAUAAUACACAUGGAUAUAGUAAGUCUUCCUUGAGCUGCUUUAAUGGUAAUCUUUACAUUUUCCUUUUUCACUCAUAGUAUGGGAAGAAGUGGACUCUAGGUGUACCCCUAAUUGGAGUUGAGGAAUCAAACCAUAUAAUUUCUUGGAUUCUAAUGGAGUAAUAUUUUAUGAAUAACACAUUUUCAACCAAAAUCAAAUAAACAUUUCAAUAAUCUCCUCAUAUUUUAAAAGUAAUAGGGAUCCAAAUGAUAGGUAAUUAAAAAAAAAUUCCUAAAUUUUCUAUUUUGAUGAAUUUUCUAUUUUGAUCGAUGAACUAGUCCUUACUAGAGUUAUAAAAUAUAUAUUUUAAUCUCGAUUUUCCUAAAAAAAAAAAUUCAACUUCCCGCUGCAUUUAUCUAAUUACGUACUAUUUAUUAGUUCAAUAAUUCAUCGUUAUUUUCAUGUUAUUAGUUGAAUAAAUCGAAAAGUAAACGCAUAAACACAAAAUACUUUUCAAUUCAAAGCUCCAUUUCAAUUUUUUUCAAUAUUCAUCACAUGUUUCUUACAAAAAAUAAAAAAUAAGAUAAAAUAAAAUAUUCGUUCACAUGUUGAUUUCUCAUACAUGUAGCAUGUAAGAAAACAAAGAAACAAUGGAAGCCCCAACCAAUGAUCCAAGAACAGGCAAGGUUGAGGCAGCCACGCUGGAAUCUGGUCCUGAUGCUGGGGCGGAAGCAGGAGAGGAGCUAGGACUAGAACCACCGGCGGAAGGGGAAGGAGCAGGUGCACCGGCAGCCAUGACGGCGCUCAUUGAGGCAGCAGCAACAAUGAUGGCGGUGGAGACCUUCUUCAUGUCCAUGGCGUAUAAAUGGAUUAUUAAACGCACCGGAAAUGAACGAGACCUGCGUUUAAUUGCUGGAGAAUGGGGAUCCGCCGGUGAUUGUUAUUAUUUGCUUUGUUAUUGCAGGUCUGAAGAACAAUGAUGUUGGGGAGGAUCUUUUAUAGGUGAAAAUUCAUAGCUAUUUUUAGUGAUGAAAUUUAAAAAUCAAAUUACGUGUUUGGUUUUCGCAUGGUUUGCGGGAUAGACAUGCAAAUUUUUUAAUAUUCUUAACUAUUUUAAGAUAAUGCGAUUUUAAAAUUUAAGUUUGAAUGAUAAUUAAUUUUUAUUUAAAUUUAAUUAAAUUAUUUGAAUAUAUUUUAUUUUUAAAAUAAAAAAUUUAAUUUGGACCGAUAUGAUUCUUUUACGAAAUUUUAAUGGUAAAGUAAAGCAAGACGAUUCUAAUCAUUUAUAUGUAAAUAUUAUAUCAUAAAAUGUAUUAAAAAAUAUUAUAUAUUAUGAUAAAUGGUUGGAUGGUAAAUUUUAUUGAGAUGAAUAUAGGACUAUAAAUGUAAAAUUAUUAGUUAACUUUCCAUAUUUGGGGAAGAUUGAAUUUCGGUUCUUUUAUUAAAAAAAUAAAUAAAUUAAUUUUUAUAUAUUUUGAAAUAUACAAAUUAGCUCAUUCGUUAAAUUUUAUCUAUUAAAUGAUGACGUGAAUGGUUAAAUAUAUGUUGAAAAUUAUCUUUUACGGGUAUAUAAAAAGAGUCACCUAAUUAUGUCUUUGUUCUAUUUUAGUUACCCAACCAAGAAUUCGUUUGGAUUUAAGUUUACCUUCAGUGUGGCACGAUUUUGGCACUUUAUUGCCCAAUCGUGUUGCAAUCAAUCACUAGGAUGCAUAAAUGGGAUUCAAUUUCAUUGCACUGAGCUUUACUUUUUUAGUUUUGGCGGAUUACAACUCCACUAACUUUUUCUUUCCUCUUGUAUCUAGACCUAAUCAUUGGCCAAGCCACCCGGCCCGAAGACUCACUCAAAAAGUAAAAGUAUUUGUGCAAAAAUAUAGGCUCGAAAAAUAGGUUUUUGCAAAAAAAAACAAGGCCUACUUUCUAAACAAGUUGCAUUGGGCAAGCUUUUUUUGCCCUAGCCUCGGCCCAAUCCAACUUUGUAAAAAAAAACCUACUGCUUUUUGCUGCUAUUGCACUAUUUUUGCAGUUGUUUUGUCACUGUUUUGGUAUCGUUUCGCUAUUAUAUUACUAUUAUUUUGUUCUUAUUAAUUGGAUAUUGUAUAACUCUUAUUUUAUUGUUAAUUUUGCUACUAUUUUAGAGAAUUUGCUUGCUAAGUUGUACCUAUCUUAGUAUUAUUAUAAAUUAUUUUUUAAUUUAUUUUCAAUUAGCUGAGAAACAUUAAUUUUAAUACAGACAGGGCGGGUCAGGCUCAAGUUUUAACAUUUUUAUUCAAGCCAAAUUUGGACAAAAUUUUAAACUUAUUUUUUAAGUUGGGCCAAAAAACGGAUCAAAAAUUCUAUUGAAGCCUGAACCAUGAUUAACUCUAUUUGUAUCCGUGCACCAUUUGUUUUAUAUCCAUACUCCUUAUGCCAUGUUCAUUCUUCUUUUUUUUUUUUGUUUAUUUCUCUUUUAAUAAAUUAAAUAAUUUUUUUAUUUUUUAAUAAAUUAAUGUAUAUUUAUCAUUUAAUAUAAUAAAUUAUUUUAAAUGAUUAUAAAUUAAUUAAUUAAAAUAUUUAUAAAAAUAUUAUGAUACAUGUUAUUAUUUUAUUAAAUAAAAUUACAACUUCACAUAUUUUAAUAAUUUCAUAAAAAUAAAAUAAUUUACAACUUCUAUUAUAUAUUAUUUCUAAUAAUGAUAAAGAAAAUUAUUUCCAACUUAAUAUCCUCACAUCACCGUUACAGCUAUGUUUGAAUUCAAGCACAUACCCAAUCACUAUUUUUAACCUCAUCGGAGCGAAUUCAGGAUGGGUUGGCAGGGCAUCGGCCUCCCCUAAAAUAAAAUUUUUUUCAUUUAGCUCUUUUUAUAAUUUUUAAAAUUUUAAAUUAACAAUAAUAAAAUUAUACUUUGUCCCUUCAAAAUGAUAAAAAAUUUAUUUAAUCUUUUAAUAUUUUCAUGUUUAAAAUUUAAAAAGUUAAUUCAACUACUUUAAAAAGAUUUUCCAACUUCAACCCACAUUUAUCUAAUUACAUAGUAGUUAUUAGUUCAAUAAUUCAUUGUUAUUUUCAAGUUAUUCAUUGUUUUGAAUAAAUCUAAAAGUAAAAGUAUAAACACAACAUACUUUCCAAAGCUCCAUUUCAAUUUUUUAAUAUUCAUCACAUGUUUCUUACAAAAUAAAAAAUAAAAUAAAAUAUUCGUUCACAUGUUAAUUUUUCAUACAUGUAGCUUACUGCAGCAUGCAAGAAAACAAAGAAACAAUGGAAGCCCCAACCAAUGAUCCAAGAACAGGCAAGGUUGCGGCAGCCACGCUGGAAUCUGGUCCUGAUGCUGGGGCGGAAGCAGGAGAGGAGCUAGGACUAGAACCACCGGCGGAAGGGGAAGGAGCAGGUGCACCGGCAGCCAUGACGGCGCUCAUUGAGGCAGCAGCAACAAUGAUGGCGGUGGAGACCUUCUUCAUGUCCAUGGCGUAUAAAGGGAUUAUUAAACGCACCGGAAAUGAAUGAGACCUGCGUUUAAUUGCUGGCGAAUGGGGAUCCGCCGGUGAUUGUUAUUAUUUGCUUUGUUAUUGAUGGUCU